UUUCCCUUAAAAGUAUUAAGGAACAAACAUCAUUUCAGAAAAAAUUUCAACUUAAAAAAAGUACUUUUUGGCAGAUGAAAAAGUUGAAAGUUUUAACUUUUUCUUCAGCCAAAAGUGCUUUUGGCUCCUAUUUACAUUUUUAACCUUAGUUUGUUUUCUCCCAAAAAAAACGUUAGAAUACCCAUUUUUUUCACAUUUUCUCUUUCAAAAUUCUUUUCCCUGGUUCUUUGUUCCUCUUUUAAUUCCUCCGCCGGAAGAGGUUGCUAGAGAGUUUAGCAUAACAAUGCAAUUUCAGCGAUUCUGGUUGUGGGCCAAGCGUCAAAACCAUACCUAUCGUCCAAACCGACCAUUGACACCUUUGGAGGAAACUUAAUUUGUAAUAUUCCUCAACAUAAAUUAUUAUACCCUGAUUCAAAAGUCUUGUUUGAGGAGUAUUGGUUUAUAGAUUUAGCUUCAGUCAUUGUUCAGCGUAGUAUUGGAUUUAAUUAAUAUGUUGUCUUCAUUUGUCCUGCUUUGCUUUGCAUGCCUCUCUCUUUCACUCUGUUCGUGUGUUGAAUGAAUAUAUAUGUACAGACACACAUGUACUUAAAUAUCAAUAAUUUUUCUUUAAAAAACAAAGAAUGAUCAAGGAAGAUGUGAUCUUUUCUUUAGUUAAAUAAUCAUGCUUGUCGCCUACCUGCGAAAUAACAUUUGGUUGCGGUGAGGACUUGUAUUUUUUGUCGCGCUGUCUUGCAAGUAUUUCAUCAAACACGUAAGGCCAUUUUCUUAGUUUUCUUUAGUGAGUACUGCAUGUUGUUGUUGUUUUUAAUUGUUUGGUGGUAAUUAUUUUAGGUUUUGGAGAUUUAAUGUUGGUAUUAAUAUAUAUACAUACAUAGAAAUACUUGUCUUUUAGUACAUUGAAUUCGGUGUACCAUUUCUUUUCUUUUGAUUAGUUAUUGGACACCUACUAAUCUUGGUCACAUGAGGUCAUGUUUGAUUGCUUGGUUAUUUUCUUUUUCAUUGUGGAGGUGUCUACUUAAAUAUUUUUAUUAAUAUGAAGUGGUUUAAAAAUUAUAAACCAUAUAAAAUACUUUAUAAAAUAUAAUAAAAAUACGUGACAGUAAAUUAAAACUGUUAGAGAUAACUAGUUUCAGAGCAUGAUGAGUACAGAUGGCGACAAACAUUAAUCAUAGCUCAUAAAUUAUAAACCCUUGCCUAUUAUCUUCUCUUUCAAAUUAUUUUCUCUUUAGAUUUCAACCAUGUUUUGCUGAUAGCGAAUGGUAUUUUAUUUAAACCAUCUUUUAAUUUAAACAUUAAUUAUAGAUUAAUUAAGAAAGGUGAUAGGAAUGGUAUUUUAUCAGUCAAAUCUAUAUAAAAUUUUAAUUAUAACAAGUACACUUUUAUCUAAUUAUUUUAUCAGUCAAAUCUAUAUUCAAUACUUGUAUUAAACAUGUUCUUUUAUAUACUGUAUUAUUCCUAUGAUUUAAACCAGAAACGUGAAUUUUUGUUUUUUUUAUUCAAAUUCAUACCAGAAUUGAAGUAAACAAGUUUAUGCAUUUGUGGAGUUGGCAACCAUUGAUAUAAAACAAUGCAUUUUCUGUUUUAGAAGCUGACGACUAGUGUCAAUCUUAUAGUUGCGUUUGGCUAUAAAUCCACUAAAAUAAUAAACAAUGAAAAAUUCACAAUAUUCAUGGUUAUGAUACCACAUAUUUUAAUUGCUUUUGGUUGAAAAAUCAAUUAGAAAAUGUUUAAGCCAUUAAAAUUUAUGUUUAAUUAUUUUGUUCUACAAUGUGGGUAAUAAAUGCAAGUCUAGAUUCUAGAAGUAGGAGAGAUCAACAUUUCAAAUUUUAUCCUAUCUUUUAUUUUUAUUUAAUUUAUUAUUUUGUUAUAAUUAAACUAGAUGGGGCCAUUGAUUUCUUAUUUUUAGAUUUCAUGAUUAGGUAAAAAAUAAUUGAUAAAAUAUUGGUUAUACUGACUUUUUAAUUGUGUUUGAUUCGGUCUUGGAAAGUUGAUUUUGAUUGAGAAAAAAAAAUCUUAGGAUCCUAUCUUGAUUUUGAUACACAUGUAAAAAAUAUACUUAUGUGACAUUUGAUUUUCUUGAUUGCUUUACUGGCUGAAACAAAUAUGUUCAUAUACACAAUAGAUGAGUACUUUGGCAGUUAAAGUUAGUGGUGAAAAGUCAAAGCAAUGUGGGAUAAGAGAUUGAUAGAAAUAUUUGGUAAUAUUUGUAUUAAAGAGAUAUUGAAAGGCAAUAGGACUAGUACUCAUUUCACAAAAGAUGGAUGAUUGAAAAUAAUGACCAACUUUGAGAAAGAAACGGGCAAGGCUUUUUCACAAAGACAAAUUAAAAAUAGGUGGGAUACCCUAAAAAAAGAAUGGAAAGCUUGAAAGAAACUUAAAGGCGAAAAUAUUGGUCUAGGGUGGAAUCCUAUAAAAAGAACCAUUGAUGCAUCGGAUGAUUGGUGGGAGAGUAGGCUAAAGAUUGUGCCUGAAGCUCAAAAAUUUAGAACAUCGAGCAUUGAUUCUGAAUUCGAAGGGAAGUUGGACCAAAUGUUCAUGGGGAUAGUUGCAACAGGUGAUAAAGCAUGGGCACCUUCUUCUGGUACACUCCGUAGUAAUUUUUUUAGGAUGUUAACAACGAAAUACCUGAAGAGAAUGAAGAAGAAAAUGUGAGAAAUGAUGUUCACAUUUCAAAUGAUGUUCAAAUUGAUGGAAAUGGUCAAAAAAUAAAAAAAAACCCUGAAAUAUCAAGUUCACAUUUUAAAACUGGAAGAAAGAAAUCCCUCAAAAGAAAUUGAAGGGGCUGCAAGAUUGUCCAAUCAAAUAGAAAAAUUAUGCAAUGCAGUUGACAAUAUGAGUCAAGCCACAUCUAGUUUGACUCCUAUUAUGGAUCCAUAUGGUAUUCCACAAGCAAUCAAAGUGCUUGAUAGUAUGUCGAAAGAAGUUCCAGAAGCUAGUCUGCUAUACUUUUUCGCACUUAAAUUAUUGCUCAAUAAAAACAGGCGAAUUAUGUUUUUUAUCAAUUAAUCCCAAGAUUAAAGCUUUGUGGCUUAAGAUGGAAAUGGAGGAUAGAUGAAAAUUUUCUGAUCUUUUAGGGUUCAGAGAUAUCUAUUAUGUGACUAAACAACAAUGCUAAACUAGUUUUAUCAAUAGUUAUUUAUGUUUGGUUUUUUGAUAUUGAA